rnacentral:rRNA from 1 species
CCUACGGGUGGCAGCAGUGAGGAAUAUUGGUCAAUGGACGGAAGUCUGAACCAGCCAUGCCGCGUGCAGGAAGACGGCUCUAUGAGUUGUAAACUGCUUUUGUACAAGGGUAAACCUGAAUACGUGUAUUCAGCUGAAAGUACUGUACGAAUAAGGAUCGGCUAACUCCGUGCCAGCAGCCGCGGUAAUACGGAGGAUCCAAGCGUUAUCCGGAUUUAUUGGGUUUAAAGGGUGCGUAGGCGGAUUGAUAAGUUAGAGGUGAAAUGUCCGAGCUUAACUCGUGAACUGCCUCUAAUCCUGUUGGUCUAGAGAGUAGAUGCGGUAGGCGGAAUGUAUGGUGUAGCGGUGAAAUGCUUAGAGAUCAUACAGAACACCGAUUGCGAAGGCAGCUUACCAAUCUAUAUCUGACGUUGAGGCACGAAAGCGUGGGGAGCAAACAGGAUUAGAUACCCCUGUAGUC